GCAUGAGGGAUACGUGAUAGGCUGAGCUGAAAACCUAGAAGUUCUGUAUCUCUGCGAGCUAGCAUGGAAUUGGAAAAAAUCAGCUGAGGACUUUGUAUCAGGGUUGUAGUGCAACUUGCUUAAGGAGUUCU
ensembl:ncRNA C29F9.15 ncRNA